rnacentral:rRNA from 1 species
AGAGUUUGAUCAUGGCUCAGAUUGAACGCUGGCGGCAGGCCUAACACAUGCAAGUCGAGCGGCAGCACAGAGGAACUUGUUCCUUGGGUGGCGAGCGGCGGACGGGUGAGUAAUGCCUGGGAAAUUGCCCGGUAGAGGGGGAUAACCAUUGGAAACGAUGGCUAAUACCGCAUAACCUCGCAAGAGCAAAGCAGGGGACCUUCGGGCCUUGCGCUACCGGAUAUGCCCAGGUGGGAUUAGCUAGUUGGUGAGGUAAGGGCUCACCAAGGCGACGAUCCCUAGCUGGUCUGAGAGGAUGAUCAGCCACACUGGAACUGAGACACGGUCCAGACUCCUACGGGAGGCAGCAGUGGGGAAUAUUGCACAAUGGGCGCAAGCCUGAUGCAGCCAUGCCGCGUGUAUGAAGAAGGCCUUCGGGUUGUAAAGUACUUUCAGUAGGGAGGAAGGUGGUUAAGUUAAUACCUUAAUC